GAUGAACGCUGGCGGCGUGCCUAAUACAUGCAAGUCGAGCGAACAGAUAAGGAGCUUGCUCCUUUGACGUUAGCGGCGGACGGGUGAGUAGCACGUGGGUAACCUACCUAUAAGACUGGGAUAACUUCGGGAAACCGGAGCCAAUACCGGAUAAUAUUUCGAACCGCAUGGUUCGAUAGUGGAAGAUGGUUUUGCUAUCACUUAUAGAUGGACCCGCGCCGUAUUAGCUAGUUGGUAAGGUAACGGCUUACCAAGGCGACGAUACGUAGCCGACCUGAGAGGGUGAUCGGCCACACUGGAACUGAGACACGGUCCAGACUCCUACGGGAGGCAGCAGUAGGGAAUCUUCCGCAAUGGGCGAAAGCCUGACGGAGCAACGCCGCGUGAGUGAUGAAGGUCUUCGGAUCGUAAAACUCUGUUAUUAGGGAAGAACAUACGUGUAAGUAACUGUGCACGUCUUGACGGUACCUAAUCAGAAAGCCACGGCUAACUACGUG
rnacentral:rRNA from 1 species